rnacentral:lncRNA from 1 species
UGGGAUGCUCCUUCCAAGCUUCUGGGGACAGGGCUGGUUAUUUGGCAAAUGGUUUCUGAUGAUUAUAAGGACCACAGCUUAUGUUCACUCCACCUUCAUGGUAUUGCUUCCUUUGGUUUUUUAGGCGUCGAGUAUUGGGCUAUUUUCCUUUGUAUUAUUGCAAAAAACUAUGAGUCCAUCUGCUGUAUAUAUGUAAUAUUUGUCUGCUUUAUCUUUGCUGG